AAAAAAAAGAAAGGGGGGAAAAAAAGCCACCGAUAUAAAAUCUCCCCGAGAGGUAACACCAGUGCCCGUCAAACACUCAAAUUUCCCAGGCCACAGCCGCCAAGAACAGUCCCAAAGUUGGAAGGUGGGAAUCAGAGACCAAACAGUUUACCUGCUUGCAGCUGCACCAGUGGUCCUGCAACAUGGACAGAUCUCCACAUCACCGACUCUCAGUGGAGUUCAUGAUCCUAUAUACACACUUCAGUGUCACUGCUAUCACCCACAUUCCUGCAGGUCCAUCACUGUGCAUCGUCUGAGCCUACUGACACUGCCUGAGCACCCAUCUGAAAGGUCACAAGAAGACACACAGGCAGCAGUGGUUGCUUUUUCUCAGGCUUUCGAGAGAAAGCGAUGCCUAGAGAGCAAAGCAGAGCAGCCCCCACGUUAGCUGGGGUUGACAGAGUGCCCCAGGUCUGCAAAGUCACUGACAUUCUUCUCUUCAUCUCAGAACAAAGGAUGAACUUUGUCAUCACAUGACUCAUGGUUUUUCCAGAUGCUCAAAGAAUAGAAAGAAAUCAGGUUAAAUAAGUAAGUAAGUGGACAAGAGCAAGUCUCUUUGUCAUCACCUCCCUCCAAGGGCAAUUUUGGAGGAGAAAGAAGAGUUCUAUUGCCCAUUUGAAAGCUUAGCAAAUCCUGCCAAUAAUUGCGCUGGAAGAACAUCAUGUUCCCAUUUAUUCUCUGUUUCAGACUGUGCUCCCAGACCUGUGUGUUCCCCUCCUGAGAACAUUCAACCCAGAUGAAGUUACCUAAGAAACAUCUAAAUAUCUGAACAUACCUAAAGGCAAAUGUUGACAGAGGGUAUCUGGACAUACAUCAAACCCAUCAUGUCAUUUAGCUGCUCCUAAAAUCUGAGUGUGUAAGACUUGAGAUGAGUUAGGCAUUUGGUUGUGGAGCAGUGGGCAUGGUUUGCCUUGAGAUUGAGCAGCUGAGUGUCCCAUAGAGUCUGGGAGCAGAGUGAGCUUCACAAACCACAGGUGGUUUGUUCCCACACAAGCCCUAGCUACACUGUGCCAACCCCUGCCCAGCUGCAGAGCCAAAAUUCAGCCAAAACAGCUAAUCAAUCCCAGAUGGAGAGCUGCAGCAAAAAAACCAAGCGUUUCCCGUUGACCACUUAUCCCAAAGAUGCUCAAAAUUAAGCCAGUGAGGUUGGCACUUUUUGCUUACAAAUUAGCACCCAUUUAUUCAAGCAGACAGUAAAAAUUCCUAAGGAAAGAAGUGGCUUAUGUUUGUGGGAAUCAGCCAUUUGCCACUUUGAACUGCUUUUGAUGGAUUUCAACAGACCUCUGCACUUGAAGCCGGCGGGAGGCACGGCGGUGCCCACCGGCUCUCCCGGCAGCUCUCCGGGCACUGCAAGGGGCUGGGAAAACUCCAUAAACCCACCACAGAGCAUCCUCUAAACUCUCCAGGGUGGGCAAACGCGGCGACAGGAGAGCAGAGAGGAGAGACUUAACAGCCUGAUCUUGCGCUAGGGUUUAAUUUAAGUUAGAAAUAACAUCUCUUUCUCAUCUAGAUCAUAUUAGGAUUUUGAAAGGGCAGUCACGCAACUUCCCCCAGCAGUUAUGGCAGAACUGUGCUCGGAAAUGAAUGGAGCUCGUGGAAGCAUUCAGGACCGAACAAUUGGAUUUAUAAUUAGGCCUAAAAAGGAAAGAACGCUGAAUAAAAGCAGCACAGCCAAUUUUAGAAGAAAAGGAAGUUCUGGAUGGAAUUCAUUGGGGUAGAGCACUGAAGUGGAAAUGGAAAGUGUUCAAAGAUAAAUGAGUUUAGGCCUAAGAGUUUGCUUGACAUCUAGAAAAUGUACUAGGAACACAGUGUCAAGAAAAGCUAACGUGAAUAACAAAGAAACACAAGAAGUGAGAGAAGAGAGGAAAGAGCCAUAAAACUUUGGGACAACAAAGAGUUGCAAUUAUAGAGGGAAAUGUAAUGAAGUGUAAAAAAUCAUAAUGAAAGCAAAGAUAGAGAAUGAAAGGAUGAUUGCAUAUUUGCUUAAUGCACAUCGGAGAAGUGUCAAAGACAUGGGAAACAAGAGGUCACUAAAUGAGAAAAUAAAGCCUCGGAGGAAAGGCACUGAAUUUAUUGCUUUAAAUACAGACUUAUUUGCCUGGGAUUUACCACUUGAAAGCCAAUGACAGAUGCAAGUGACAGAAAUGUUUUCCUAAAGGAGAGGAAAAAUUUCAGAAGGAAACUGAGCUUUUUUUUCUUAGGCAACUGAUCCAGCAAUGUGGUCUGAUCCAAAGGCAAAACACUGGGAUCUAACAAGGGCUCAGAAACAGAGGGAAAACUCAGUCUAACCAGUCCCCAAGUGCAGGGAGGUUAAUGUUUGCUUAAUAACACCCUUUGCUGGCAUCAGGAGUCUUGUCUCAAAGUGACUCAGCUUUGCAGGUCAUUUGCAUCAGAGGGGGGGGGGUCUCUUCUCAGCCCUCAUUGGGCUCCCCUCCUGGGAUUUUUCUGAUAAGAUGUAUCUGGUUUUGGUACCCAAAAUACCUGCUACAUCCCACUAUAUCACUUCCCAGUAAUAUUACAGCUCAGGAGCUGCAUACAACAGUUAAUGCUGUGUGGCCCAAAAAAUCUUACCAUGUCCAGAUCAGCAGUACAAAGUGUGAUGGAAACCAUCCCAGGUUCUCCUGAGUGGUGUCCCAUGGGCUUCACUGCCUCUAGCAACUCUGUGGUUAUUUAAAGGCAAAUUCGGGGCUUCCCAGCUAUGGGGAAAACUGAGAUCUGUUAGUGAAUGAAAUACAGACAGUUACGCAACAAUAUAUCCCUUUCCCAGCAUGAGGUGCAGCCAUGGCUUUGCAUUUACAGAUCUGUGGCUGGCCUUGAUUCCAGCAGAAUAAAAAAACUCUUUCUGUAGAACAGUGUCCCCAAAAGGGACACAGGGCUUCAAUACCCUUUUUUGCCCUGAAAUGAAGAAUGGCCAUGAGCUGGGGAUCCCGUUUUGCUGGGGCAGCACCAAGAGACGGGGCCUGUGCCCUGCAGGCAACUUCCCAAACCCAUGGCAUGGGGAAGGAAUCAGCAGCUGAUGGAGAACAUGGCUUAGAUGACUCAUCACCAAAGAGAAGCACUUGCUGGGACACGAGGAAUGAGUCCUCACCUCAUCUAUAUAUUCCAGUGGUGUCUGUAUGUCCCACCCAUGUAGGUGCUGGAUCAUCCCAGAUGAGGUGGUGGGAUCCCCAAGGAAGCACAGAGUACUCCUGGGCUGGUCCAAACCUUCCUCCCCUUUGGGACCUCCAGGACUCGGUGACCUCAGAAACGGGGCUGAGAAAGAGCUCACAGCCCACAGCAGCCCGGGACACCCAUGGAAAAAGCAAAAAGGAAGUGGAGCAAGGCUGCCAAGUGCAUUUUCCCUCAAAAACCCUAUGAACAGCAGAGUGACACCCUGGGAGCAGGAUCCUACUGUGGAAACCAAUUCCACCAGAAAAUGUGGAAGAUGAGCUGCAAGCUGUGAGGUGCAGCCAUAUCCCUGCCCACUUGCUCCUGGAGAUCACACUUGAGCACGACAGGACAAUCCAAAUCCUGUCCCAAGUUGAGCACAGGACAGUUUUCAUACCUGAGGAUGGCUGCACAGACAGUGAGUUAAACUCAUCAAGGCUUCCUUGCUCAGAAGUGAAUGUGGAGCAACUUCUGCCUUGAGAGAGGGUCAGGAGGGGUUACCUUUACACAGCAGCAUUGCUCCUCUUCCCUGCUACCCCAGUGAUCUGAGUAGAUCUCUUCUUUUGUUGUUGCAGCUUUUCUUUUUGUGUCCUCAGCUAAAGGGAAUUAACUUCUACCGGGACCAGCCAAUGAGGCCUGUAUCGAUAAUUAGGCGUUCAGAGGCUUCAUGCUACUGUUUCCCCACAGCUCAGCCAACAAGGAUGAGAAGUGCCCAAGAAGUGCUGACUUUCCUGCCAUGCACGGAGGCAGCCAAGUCCCAUAUCCAAGAAAAAGAAUACUAUGGUGGAGGUAAAGGGAAAGCAACCAGAGCAGUGUGUGAGCCAGGCACAUAGAGCUAUAUUUGGGGUGGCUGAUUUUUGGGUUGAGAGGUGCCAUUGUGUGCUAGGAUAUCCUAAAACCCGGGAGAAUUUAAUCCCAGCUCAAAAGAAGGGCAGGCACAGUGAGGUGCACAGGACUGUGCAGCUUCGCUGGAUCAGGAGGAGGCAGCAGAGCUGGAAAUGCAGGGUCAGAGCAGUUCAGGCCCAUAUUCAGAGGGGCUCCAGUCCUAGUCCUUGUUGAAAUUAGUCUUUGCAUGGAUACGUAUAAAUAAAUCCAGGACACUGCUUGCGUAACAAUAACAUUUUGCAGUAUCUGGCAUUUGCCGCUAGUUGAAGGCUAAGCAAACCAUGCUUCAGUGGAGCAUAAAAUUGCUUUUCCUUUGGAACAAGCAGGGCAUUGUAGUAAUAGGCAAAACUGUACAUUGUGUUAACGGCUGUAUUUUCACAUUAUUGAUUUACAUUGUGUAAUGCCAUGCAAGACCUGCUUUCAAUGAUAUGUGCAUCUGUCAUAUCACAAUAACUGCAAAAGGCUGGGUGCUGCUUGGAAAAAUGAAGCGCUGGGGAUCCCGGGGCAUAUUCACAUCCCUGUGCCCAUCAUGCAGAGGUGAUGAUUAGGGGGAUGUUGUGGUAAUGAGCAGGUCCCAAGUGUGUGCUAUGUAAAUCAAGGCUGCCCGGGUCAGCUUCCACUUACUGUGCACAUCCAACUUUUUCAGCCUGCUUACUCUUCUGACAAGGAGAGUGUAUGGAAAUGCUUCUCCUUGGCAGCUCCCCUCAGCUAUGUGUGUGUCAAGGUAUCCAAGAUGGAUGAGUUGCAUUUUUUUUCCCCUCUCCAACUAUUUUCUGAAGGGGCCAGCCCUGGCACAGGAAUGCCUACAGGGAUCACCAGACACCAGAAAAGCAGAGCAGUAUGAGAGAGCCACCAAAGACAAAACCAGGGAGAUUGUCACAGGAAAUGUCAUCACUAAAUACACCUUAAAAUAAGAGAAUGAAGAAUCUGCAGGUACAGUGUUUUGAAUCUAAGUGAGUUCACCUCAAAAAUGCAAUUAAAAAGUGUUGAUAUCAGUCUGAAACAUUUUUAAAAUCACUAGAUAGUUAAUGCAAAGCUUUGUUUUACACUAUCUAGCCUGGUGGUAAAUUAGGUAGCUUAGCUUCCAUUAAUCUAUAAUAUCUGACUUCAUUGCUUACAGUGGCUGCAAGAGCUAUAUAUUAUAAUGGGGAAUAUUAAAAUAAUAUUUGUCUUCCUUUUUAUUUGGUUAUUUAUAAAUGUAUUAAAUUUUCUCAUUGCUCAAAGAGGAAGAACGAUCCCAGAUCCAUUUUGCCAGACCAACAACUGAGCAACCAGGUUCCAAUUCCUUCCACAGCUACAGACUUUCUGGCCUCAGGCAAGUCACAUAGUCUCUGUGCAUCACCCCCUCCAGCUGUAGGACUCAGCCACCCAGAACUUGUAGAGGGCCACAGGACCCCAGGAGAGACAGACAGACUGCCCUAAAAUCAAACAUCACUUAAAUAUUUGUCUAGGAUGUAGCGGAUUUAACAAUCAGAGGGGCUUUUUUUUUUUUUUUUUCAGCAGGUAUUUAAAAUCUGAAAUAGUUAAUAUUCAUCUAAGAAUCAGCUCUUUCCAGAAGGAGAGCCACAGAGAUGCCUCAAGUGGGGAACUUGGGGUGCUCUGCCAUUUCCAGGACCUUGACCUUCCAUCCACACAGCAACACAUUAUGGUUUUACACACCAGCAAGAGCCAGCAGUGUUGGAUCCAAAAUGCAGGAGAGAAAAGCAGUGAACCAACACACACUGGCCAUGCAGAGAUUAAAGGAAAGAUAUUUUACUUCCACUGAGAACGUGGAGGGAUCUCUGUGCUGUGAUGGAUGUGUUGAUUUUGUCUUACUGCCCUUCUCAGUCCUGAAGCAGCUCAGCUCUGUCCCUUUGCCAGCACCUCACAGGGGAGAUGUAAUUCCAGGAAAUUGCUUUCAACCCCGGCUCCCUACUGCAACAUAGAAACAUUUUUAAAGCUCAGGCCGAUGUGCUGCCUGUCUCCUGCCUGUCCCUGCCUUGAUGCACUGGUAUCCACCCUGUGCUUGUCACAUUACUGAAAAGAAAAACCAGGGUUAAAUGAGAGCUCUGCUUUUCAGUUCACCUUUAACUGGAAAUUACAGGGUUUUUUCCUUCCUUAUAUACUUUUUUCCCCCCCACUCUCUGCUAUCUUAGUCCAUUCUCUUUGUUUCAAUUGAAAAACUGGGGGACAUUUUACCAAAUUCUUAUUUCACGUGAUCCAAGAUAAAACCAAAGAUACGUCGUAAUGUUAGUCAUUACUGCCACAGACUGAAAGAAAAUCUAAGAUAAGGAAAGUUUUUACUCUUUUAUCCUUGAUGUUUUCUUUACUAUCUGUGCAUUUAAUUGAUCGCUUUUGAGCCUGCUCUUUUCUCCAGACUUGCAAGUCACUAAUGAUCAAGAUUUUAACAUUGUACAUUGUUUAAAAUGUUAGUUGUGUCAUCAACAGCUCACAGAAGCAAUGCAACUCUGAACUUGGGUCUUAGAAGGUAAAAGUCUUUUCAGUUUGUCUUUAAAUACUUGGAUAAAUCCCGUUAGCUUUCUCCACACCAUCAAAGCAUUUGGAUAGCAUAAAGCAACUGAAUACAUAAAAAUGUAUCUAAACACCUUGUAAAUCCCUACACAGAGCUGUUGCCGACACUACUUUUAACCCUAGGAAAACAUUUCACCAAUUACUGAUCAAAUACAAUACAGCUAAAUUUCACCGCCAGCACAUCAUUUUGAUAAUGGGUAUGGAAAUUAUCCAUUCAAUAGCUAUUCAGAAAUAACUUAGAAAGAUUGGUUUUCAGAUUCUUCUGAGAAUCCUAGAAUAAUCCCCUAUAAUCACCGUGGUGAGAAUCCACCAACAUUUUUCCCUUUGAAAAAGACUGGGGCGAGAGUGUUGGUGGUCUCUGCCUGUCCUCUGAUGGAUGGAUUCAAACAAUAUAUCUGAAAUCACCAGCACUUUGCUGGCAGAGGACUGAGAGGUUUCAUACUCUUACAUGACUCAGUCAAGAAAGUCUGCCAGCAUAGGGAAAGACUUUAGCUCUCCCCUGUCAGCUUGGCUUCUCAGGUGCACCUCAGCAACCUAUCAGUAUAAAUUUUCUUCCUUUGUCACAGAGCAAACUUGCAUCAUUUUCUAUUCAGUCUGGAAGAAACAAAACAAACAACAUAAAGUACCUAAAAUAAGCAAUAACUACACUUUGCACUUCCCUGCUGCUCUGUGACAGCUGCUAAAUGUGAUCCAGGAGUAUUUUAGAAUGUUUCAAUUUUAUGACCUUUCUUGCUUCUUGGUAUGAGGCUGAAAGGAUUCUCUCUUUCUUCUUUAGGGAAAGAUACUAUUUUCUGAUUUACUUUACUGAUUUCAUAGAUGUGAAAUUUGGUCUGACUGGGGGAGAUGAAGCAGGGGGGCUGUUGGAUGAGAAAUGUUUUCCUGCUCUGGAGUGGUAAUUAGACACCAGACAUGAGUGUAACAAAAACGAACCCCAGACAUGUCCAAAGCUUUCCUUUCCCCUUCAGUAACUCAGCUUUUGCUCCCUUAUGAAUUUAAGCUGCCCAGGUACCACAGAGUCCUUUAGCCCAAGGAAAACUGAAUUUCUCUAUACUUGCAUAUAAAGCCCUCUGGGGAUCCCCUGCCCUUGUGCCCUCCUUGUCACACUGCACCAGAGGUGACCCUGCUUCCCUGCUACCUUGACCACAGUUGAUGUCCCCAAAGGCAGACACAACCUGCCCUUCUAAAGCAAAUGACAGACACUGGCCAGGAGGGCCUUUCUCCCAUCCCAAGGCCAGGCCACUUAUUUCCACAGGUUAUUAUGCAAUGGGUUAAUUGGGGGCAUAACAACCUCCCCUGGGAAGCCCAAUUAAAAACAACAGCCCUGGCUUCUAUCCUUCAGGUGAGGACCACAAACGCACACGUGGGCUUUCAGAAUCACUGGUUUCUGUAGCAAUUUGCUACCGUCCCAGGGUGGGGGAAAGGCAAAUGAGUCACCAGUGAGGCACCCGCCCAGGGAAAGGCUGUGGCACCACCAGGACCCAAGUGCUCCCAGUCCACGCUGAAAUGGCAAAGUCAUUCUCUCCUGUCCCAAAAGUGCAGGUUUCAUACCCCAAAGUGGUAAAAGAAGAGUUAAUACAGCAAAGCACUAGCAGGAAAAAGCCUUUCUAAUAGCUGCACACGGGUGAGUUUUCAUUCACAAGCAAACUCACCAAAAGCAAAGAGCAGCUGCAAGAGCACCGGCACAAGCACCCACUCCAAUGGCCCUGUGCUGGCCAGUCUAAAAAUCUCCACAGUUAGAGCAAAGACAAAACAACACCACCUGGUUCAUAAGCAAAACCAUCUUCCAGUGGCUUGGACACUGAAUCACACACCAAAUCUGCUCACAAGAAUGUACUGAAUCCCUGAUGAUUCGGGGAGAGGCUGACGGUGGCUCAGGACUGUCACAUGGCAUCACUGGGCAAGUCUGGUCUGCCUGCACAUCACUCAAAGCCAAGAAAGGGGCUAUUUUAGGCCUACAUACUGUUUGCUGUAAACAGUUAUGGCAGCUCUGUGAUAACAGGAUCUAACAGGAUCGGGAAUGUUUUGUGGGGUGGAGAGGGCACAUAGAGUCAGGCAGAGCUGAGAGAGGCGGCAGCUCUGGGACCCGCCAUGGAGGGGUUGCGUCCUCCUCUGUCUGCUGGGCUGAGCCUCCAGCUGCAAGAGAAGUUGGACGUGAAGCACAUACAAAUCCCCCAGCCCUCAGGGGUUUCCUUUCACAGGAGAAAGCAUGGACUUCAGCAGCAGCACCUGGAAACCCCGGGCAGCAUUUGCAAGCUGUGCUCACAGCCAGGACAUAGGGCAUGGGGCAGCCGGGGAGACCCACCAGCCCCAGCACUCGGGUAACCCUUUGAGCAGGCUGGGCAGCACUCAGGGCAGCCUUGCUGCAGGGCUUUUUAUAUCAGCUUUACCUUCAAGACAAGAUUAUUGACCUUUCCAAUCCAAUAUUUAACAACCCCCAUUCAUUCCCAUUUUCCCCUUCCCUUCUACUUCAUUCCCUUUGUUGCUCUGUAAUGGAAGAGGCAACAGGGCACAUAUUUCUGCAGAACAAAGCAUUAUCAUCCUAAUUAUAGUUUCCUGGUGUUUUCUUCACUUUUACCAUUUUAUUAAAAACAAUUAGCUGAGAAAAACCAUCUUUUUUAAUCUCUACCCUAUUGUUCUCAUCUCUCUCUGAAUCCAAGGAGGUCUUUUCAGAGGCUAUUUUAUUCAUAAUUACAUAUAUUGGAACAACUGCUCAGAAAGUGAGCCCAGAAAUGAUUCUGACAAUACUUUCCUAGCAGGCUGGGUCCUGCUGCCUCUGAAGUGUGUAACACUAACAAUUUAAUAAAAUCUAUGUGAAAACAAGGGCUUAUUUUCAACAGCCUGUGUAAAUGAUGGAUGCAGCUAUGCCAGGAGCGUUGGCCUAAUAGAUUGAGGAGGAGUUGGAGUCACAGCAAAAUCAGAAGCCAAAGACUUUUGUUUGGCUGCCAGACUUGGCUCCCCUGACUCCUUUGAGGCGUCUGGCUGCAGGCAAGUAUGACCCUGAGGAUAACACAGCAAGGCAGGGGGAUUUUACCAGAUAAAGACCCCAGCUCCACCCAUUUGUACUCAAAACCUGCAGGACUCUGGAGGAAUGUUAGCCUCUUGGUCUAGUUUGGCCCCUAUGCUCCAAGCUUGAUUUAAGCACAGACCACUUCAGCUUCAAAGAUGCCUUCUGGAGUUUUUGCAUAUGUAUAAUUCUUAUUCCAAAGCUUCCCCCCUCCAGUUCUCUGUUUACCCUAUAGGCUUUUAUUUAAAAAACAGUACAGUCAGAGCAUUGCAAUUUUUUUCAUUUGAAAGAGAUGUUUGAAAUUUAUUUUUUUUUGCACUGGGAAAAAACUUUAAAGUGUAUCAUAUUAAGUCAAUUGGCUCUUCACAUUUUUUUUUUGAGCUUCCCCUCUACCACCUUUGUUAAUUACCCGCCAUUUGAACAAGGGUCUUCUCCUGCCUUGAUCCUGCCGUGAAAUCAUGAUGCUAUAUUUGUCUUUCUAACAUCAAAGUCAUUUCCAUGGUCACCAACUGUGAUGUCAUAAACACAUUUUUAAUGGCUUGUUUACAGCAGGGAACAGAAGGAGAGAAGAGAUUAUGGGUGGAAGGAAACUCUUAUCGAUACACAACAGUUUUAAGCACAACUGUGAGGCUGAGGCAUGCAGAAAACUUGAAGUCAAAAAAAAAUCCUUGCUGAAAUAGCUUCUCUUCUGAAGUUCGUCCCAGCACAAAAAUCCCUUUUUAAGUUACUAGUGAACCAGCAAUCCCAAUGGAUUACUAUUAUUUUAGUCAGCUCAGAGUUGGUACUUUCUAAGCUUGGAAGACAGCAAAUCCAUGCCCCAAUCCAUCCAUCUCACUGUAUAAAUGAACACACCCAACACACA